GGCUGAAUGCCCCACUAACGGUCACUCUCGGACAGUUGGUUGCUUGUGGGCGGGGCCCACUGCGGCACUGACCAAUGGCUGAGCAGGACCAUGGCCAGUCCUGUGGUAAUCACUGCCUGCACUGGCCAGCAGAAAAGCCUUCUAAAAGCCUCCAUAGCUAGAAGAGAACAAAGUUGUCACUUCUUGUGAUCAAAUUCAGCACUUCCUGUUCUUCUGCCACCAUCAUGAAUGCAUGUUACACAGAAAAGCCACAUGAGGCUGAGUCCCAGGACUCCCACAACACCAGGAAUACAGUUAUCUCCAGGCAAGUCCUGGGGAACUACUGCAGGAGGUCCUCUUCAUUGGUAUGAGCAUGGUCAAGGUUAACUCAGUAUGAUAUCUACAUUCCAGCCCACAGGAAGAGAGGAGAGAGAAACUGAAGGGCAAUUAAUUUCUUUUCCAAAAACCUGACCCAUCAUAUCCCAUUAGGUAAAACUGAUUCACGUAGCCAUCUCUCCCUGCAAAAUCAGUCCAAGAAAUGCCGCUGCUCUCUGGGCAGCACACGCUCAGCUAAAACUCGGUGAUGAGGGGGUUCUGUUUCAAAAGGAAGCAAGGAAGACUGGAUCUGGGGACAGAAGCUUUAACACUUACCAGACAGAUCGUUCAAUCAGUGCCCCUGUCCUUGGCCCACCUCCACGUCUCCUUCUAGAACAUUUCACACCAAUGGGGGGCUUUAUCAGAGUUUUGCAGUGCUACUCAGGAUGCUUUUUUAACUUUCCCGACUCUGGGCCAGGGUUCAUACUUCUUGAAUCUGCUUCGGCAUUUGCAAAGAAUCCGCCUGUUCUCCAGCAUCCGAAAUUUCAUGGCUGUUGUCGUCUCCUGACCUCCUUUUCCUUGAAGAUGUAUUCCUUGUUUAAUAAAACUUUUUACUCGUAUUUUAGUGGGAUUAUGGGAGGAAUGGUGGCUAAAUACGUGUGCUCAAUCAGCCAAUUUUAAAC
ensembl:lncRNA